CUGGUGUUGAUGUUGUCAUGAACCAUCACUUGCAGGAAACCAGAUUCACAAAAGAAGCAUAUAAGAAGUACAUAAAAGAUUACAUGAAGUCAAUCAAUGGCAAACUUGAAGAAUAGAGGCCAGAAAGACUAACAAAUUUUAUGAGAGGGACUGCAAAACAAAUCAAGCACACCCUUGCUAAUUUCAAAAACUACCAGUUCUUUAUUGGUGAAAACAUGAAUCUAGAUGGCAUGGUUGCUCUUAAACACAUCUGACUCU